AGCGCGCGUAGGUGGUUUGUUAACCGUUGGAUGUGAAAUCCCCGGGCUCAACCUGGGAACUGCAUUCAAAACUGACUGACUAGAGUAUGGUAGAGGGUGGUGGAAUUUCCUGUGUAGCGGUGAAAUGCGUAGAUAUAGGAAGGAACACCAGUGGCGAAGGCGACCACCUGGACUGAUACUGACACUGAGGUGCGAAAGCGUGGGGAGCAAACAGGAUUAGAUACCCGAGU
rnacentral:rRNA from 1 species